AGAAUGAACGCUGGCGGCGUGCUUUACACAUGCAAGUCGAGCGAGGCGUGUAGCAAUACACAGUCGAGCGGCGAACGGGUGAGUAACGCGUGGAUGACCUGCCCUUCAGCGGGGAAUAACCCGGGGAAACUCGGGCUAAUACCGCAUACGACCGAGAGGUGGAAGGGGGCCGCAAGGCUCUCACUGAAGGAGGGUCCGCGUUCGAUUAGCUAGUUGGUAGGGUAAUGGCCUACCAAGGCGACGAUCGAUAGCCGGCCUGAGAGGGUGAUCGGCCACACUGGAACUGAGACACGGUCCAGACUCCUACGGGAGGCAGCAGUGGGGAAUUUGCGCAAUGGGCUAACGCCUGACGCAGCAACGCCGCGUGGAGGAUGAAGGUCUUUGGAUUGGUAAACUCCUGUCAGCAGGAAAAGGACACGACCUCAUACGUCGUAGAACUUGAUUGUACCUGCAGAGGAAGCCCCGGAUAACUCUAGUGCCGAGCAGCCGACGGUAAUCGUAGA
rnacentral:rRNA from 1 species